UACGUAGGGUGCGAGCGUUGUCCGGAAUUAUUGGGCGUAAAGAGCUCGUAGGCGGUGUGUCACGUCGUUCGUGAAAACCUGCAGCUUAACUGUGGGCGUGCGGUCGAUACGGGCAUCACUGGAGUUCGGCAGGGGAGACUGGAAUUCCUGGUGUAGCGGCGAAAUGCGCAGAUAUCAGGAGGAACACCGGUGGCGAAGGCGGGUCUCUGGGCCGAUACUGACGCUGAGGAGCGAAAGCGUGGGGAGCAAACAGG
rnacentral:rRNA from 1 species